rnacentral:lncRNA from 1 species
AGGAGAGAAACUACUUGUACGACGAAUAGCGGCAGCAAGCUUCAGGUGAUUCUAUUAUUCGAACUUAUCUUAAUUUCAUUAAAAUGUAGGUUUGAUUGAUGUUAAUGUUGGCGAGUGUAAAGGAAAUUGGAAGUGAAAAUGGGUGGCUAUUGGCGUUAGUAUUACGCACUGAUAUGUUGAAAUUUGGAGAAAGUGAGGGACAUAAUAAUAACAUACAGAGAAGUAAUGAUUGAGGAGUAAUGGUGCCAUGACUUUAACUAGUAGGUUAAUUUUCAAUUUGUCCGUUUGCACUAUUGUAAAUAGUUUAAUAAAUUAAUUGAAUUUGAUUUUUGUUUCUAUUGAUUAAAGAUUGGAAGGGUAAUCUCUCAUUAAUUAUUAAUAGUGUAGUACAGAUAACUAUAUACGUAAGUAUUAUAUGUGAGUAUGGGUUGAAACAAUUAAAUUAGAUUGCUUCGUUUUCUCUAGUGUGCUAAGACGUUAGUUUGAUUUAAUUAUUUUCUUUGGUUAUCAUGUUAUACAUUCGGUUUUGACAUAUUGAGAUAGAUAAUUAAAUACUAAAUGUAUUGUAUUACUUGAAUACCAUUAAAGUUAUGAGAAUUGGAGGUAUUAAAACUAAAUAGAUUUGAAAUUUAUAAAAUGUGAAACUUGAUAGAUAAGUGGGUAUCAAGAUUUAGAAAAUUUAUUAUAGAUUUGAGUAGGUUUUCGAGUCUAUGCUAAACCUGUAAUAAUAUGGGUAUUGUUAGUUUCGAAAUCUUACUAUAAUUAUGGACUUGAAUAGAUUGCAUUUAUUUGGAGGCCGAAUGAAAAGGAAAGACUCAUGUUCCGGAGUGACUGUUCGACUAUUUGAGGCAAGUGGAUUUCUAAACUCUUGUUAAGUGUAUGAAAUGCGUGUAUGUCCUUGUGGUAUAUGUUGGGAGUAACGGGAUUGGUGAUGGGUUGACUUAUCCACAUUGAUUAAUUCUAGUGAUGAAAAUAAUGGGGAUAAAAAAAAGGCAAUGUGAUUAAUUGAUUAUGUUUGUUGUGUUGAGAAAGGGUUGAAGGCUUGUUGAAUCAUGGUUGAUGUAACUUCAUGUUUGUGUGGUUGUGAACUGUGUGAUGUUAUGGAAAUGGUCAUCUCCUCAUUAUAUGUGUGAACUUGUCAUCUGCAUUAUUCUGAGGCAUUGGUUGUGACAAGUGUUAUGUGCAUUGAGAAAGAAUGGGUACUUAAGAGGAUGUACCAUUUCGAGGGACGUAUCGCGCGCCGCGAUGGAUACUAUAUUUCGAGGGACGUAUCGCGCGCCGUGAUGGUUACUAUUAUCGAGGGUCGUGUCGUGCGCCGCGACAGAUUCAUGGACAGAUAUGUCCCCCAUGGGUCCCGGACUGAGAGACAGCGGGUGUGUAUUACUAGGUCAGACAUGCAUCAUUAUACUUGACAUUGCAUUCCAUUGCAUUGCACAUACUUAUCAUUAGUGAACUUGAUAUGGUAUUUUGCUGGUCUUCUGAUUGCCUUUCUGCGGAACUUGUGAUUGAUUAAUAUUGAGCUUGUUAUUGCGGAUAUGUAAUUUGUUGAAGUAUUCUUGUUGAGGAUAUGUAAUUUGUUGAAGUGUUGUUGUUGAGGAUAUGUAAUUUGUCUAAGUGUUGUUGUUGAGCUACGUGCUAUGUAAACUGUGAGCUGUUAGGUUGGGUUGAUUUUAAUGCAGGUUGUAGUUGUGGAGGUUUGGUUGGGGGUGGUAGGAGUACCCGUAUUUCAUCCCCUUAGCUUGUGUUUAGACGUUUACUUGCUGAGUACCGUGUGGUUUGGUACUCACCCCUUGCUUCUACAAAUUUUUGUAGGUUAUGAGCCUGGAUUUUUGUUGUACUUGUCAUUCUCUUCUUUUCCGAGGCUUCUUGGAGAUUUGUCAGGUAGUUGUUUCCAUCGCAGCAGACAUUCUUCUCCUUAAUUAUGAUCUUGUUCUAUUCUAGAAACAAAUUCAUUUGAGACUUGAGUUUUCUUUUGACUUUAGAGGCUUGUGCACGUGACUACCAG